GACGAACGCUGGCGGCGUGCUUAACACAUGCAAGUCGAACGGUGAACCUCUUCGGAGGGGAUCAGUGGCGAACGGGUGAGUAACACGUGGGCAACCUGCCCCCGGCUCUGGGAUAACUCCAAGAAAUUGGGGCUAAUACCGGAUGUUCACCGCUUCCCGCAUGGGGGGUGGUGGAAAGGGUUUCCGGCUGGGGAUGGGCCCGCGGCCUAUCAGCUUGUUGGUGGGGUAGUGGCCUACCAAGGCGACGACGGGUAGCCGGCCUGAGAGGGUGACCGGCCACACUGGGACUGAGACACGGCCCAGACUCCUACGGGAGGCAGAAGUGGGGAAUAGUGCGCAAUGGGCGGAAGCCUGACGCAGCGACGCCGCGUGGGGGAUGACGGCCUUCGGGUUGUAAACCUCUUUCAGCAGGGACGAAGCGCAAGUGACGGUACCUGCAGAAGAAGCACCGGCCAACUACGUG
rnacentral:rRNA from 1 species